UACGAAGGGGGCUAGCGUUGCUCGGAAUCACUGGGCGUAAAGCGCACGUAGGCGGAUUGUUAAGUCAGGGGUGAAAUCCUGGAGCUCAACUCCAGAACUGCCUUUGAUACUGGCGAUCUUGAGUCCGGGAGAGGUGAGUGGAACUCCGAGUGUAGAGGUGAAAUUCGUAGAUAUUCGGAAGAACACCAGUGGCGAAGGCGGCUCACUGGCCCGGUACUGACGCUGAGACGCGAAAGCGUGGGGAGCGAACAGG
rnacentral:rRNA from 1 species